ACGCUCGACACCUACGGGAGCAGCAGUGGGGAAUAUUGCACAAUGGGGGAAACCCUGAUGCAGCGACGCCGCGUGAGCGAAGAAGUAUUUCGGUAUGUAAAGCUCUAUCAGCAGGGAAGAGACUGACGGUACCUGACUAAGAAGCACCGGCUAAAUACGUGCCAGGAGCCGCGGUAAUCUGAGCGGGCUGGCAAGGC
rnacentral:rRNA from 1 species